rnacentral:rRNA from 1 species
GACGAAGGGGGCUAGCGUUGUUCGGAAUUACUGGGCGUAAAGCGAGUGUAGGUGGUUGUUCAAGUUGGAUGUGAAAGCCUUGAGCUCAACUCAAGAAAUGCAUUCAGGACUGAGCGACUAGAGGACCGGAGAGGAUAGUGGAAUUCCCAGUGUAGUGGUGAAAUACGUAGAGAUUGGGAAGAACACCAGUGGCGAAGGCGGCUCACUGGCCCGGUACUGACGCUGAGGUGCGAAAGCGUGGGGAGCAAACAGG